rnacentral:rRNA from 1 species
AUUCAAGGGUGUGGCGCGAGCUCCUUCGGGAGCGAAGCAAUUGGAAGUGGUUCCAAGAAAAGCCUCUAAGCUUCAGUCUAACGAUGACCGUACCGCAAACCGACACAGGUGGGCGAGAUGAGUAUUCUAAGGCGCUUGAGAGAACUCGGGAGAAGGAACUCGGCAAAUUGGUACCGUAACUUCGGGAUAAGGUACGCCCUUGUAGCUUGACUGGCCUGCGCCAGGAGGGUGAAGGGGUUGCAAUAAACUGGUGGCUGCGACUGUUUAAUAAAAACACAGCACUCUGCAAACACGAAAGUGGACGUAUAGGGUGUGACGCCUGCCCGGUGCCGGAAGAUUAAAUGAUGGGGUGCAAGCUCUUGAUUGAAGUCCCGGUAAACGGCGGCCGUAACUAUAACGGUCCUAAGGUAGCGAAAUUCCUUGUCGGGUAAGUUCCGACCUGCACGAAUGGCGUAACGAUGGCCACACUGUCUCCUCCCGAGACUCAGCGAAGUUGAAGUGUUUGUGAUGAUGCAAUCUACCCGCGGCUAGACGGAAAGACCCCAUGAACCUUUACUGUAGCUUUGCAUUGGACUUUGAACCGAUCUGUGUAGGAUAGGUGGGAGGCUAUGAAACCGGAACGCUAGUUUCGGUGGAGCCGUCCUUGAAAUACCACCCUGGUUUGUUUGAGGUUCUAACCUUGGCCCGUGAUCCGGGUCGGGGACAGUGCAUGGUAGGCAGUUUGACUGGGGCGGUCUCCUCCCAAAGCGUAACGGAGGAGUACGAAGGUACGCUAGGUACGGUCGGAAAUCGUGCUGAUAGUGCAAUGGCAUAAGCGUGCUUAACUGCGAGACCGACAAGUCGAGCAGGUGCGAAAGCAGGUCAUAGUGAUCCGGUGGUUCUGUAUGGAAGGGCCAUCGCUCAACGGAUAAAAGGUACUCUGGGGAUAACAGGCUGAUACCGCCCAAGAGUUCAUAUCGACGGCGGUGUUUGGCACCUCGAUGUCGGCUCAUCUCAUCCUGGGGCUGUAGCCGGUCCCAAGGGUAUGGCUGUUCGCCAUUUAAAGAGGUACGUGAGCUGGGUUUAAAACGUCGUGAGACAGUUUGGUCCCUAUCUGCCGUGGGCGUUGGAUAUUUGAAGGGGGCUGCUCCUAGUACGAGAGGACCGGAGUGGACGAACCUCUGGUGUACCGGUUGUCACGCCAGUGGCAUCGCCGGGUAGCUAUGUUCGGAAGAGAUAACCGCUGAAAGCAUCUAAGCGGGAAACUCGCCUUAAGAUGAGAUAUCCCUGGGGACUAGAUCCCCUUGAAGGGUCGUUCGAGACCAGGACGUUGAUAGGUCAGGUGUGUAAGCGCAGUAAUGCGUUCAGCUAACUGAUACUAAUUGCCCGUAAGGCUUGAUCCUA